CAUAAACCUAACACUUCAUAUACUACUAAUAUUAUCAUGGCUUUGUAACUGUGCAAAAACAUUUAGAUCCUCCUAUAUUUUUUCCUAUCGCAUGUUUGCUCUCAUGCGGGCACUACAUCUAGGCCCCUAGUUGCACCACUUUUCAAGUAUGAGAGCCUUCUCUGCCAUAUUUUCCACUGUACAGUUCUUCCUUCUUUCUAUUUGUGUUACCAAGCUCAUGGACUGUGGUAGAGAUAUGGAGAUGGUUUUAUUAGCAUGUGUUUUUUUGGUUUGUUUUGUUGUUGUUUUUUUCUCAGUGUCUAAGUCUCAGCUGGGACAGAGCUGAUUUUUGUCAUGGUAUGACGCUAUGUUCAGAUUACUCAGAAAAAACAAUGUGGAUAACACAUUUAUGUUUGAAGUUGUUGCUAAGCAGCGCUGCACAGAGUCAAGGCCAUUUCAGCUUCUCUGACUGCUCUGCCAGUGAAGGAGCUGGGGUUGCACAAGCAGGCAAGGAAGCCCUGUACAUGCUUUAAUAAUAUAUGGAAAUCCAAGUGAUUAGUGAAGACAAGUGGAAGGAACUUCUUUUUUCACUAUGUGGGGAAAAAAGUGAUUGAUUCUGACAAAUAGCCAUUUUUCACUGCCAUCGCUGGGAUGCCAGCAGUUAUCUAACAGGUGGUAGUCAAUUGGAUGAAUCCAGGCUCUUUCACAUGGUGUCCAGCAACAGAAGAAGGGACAAAGAGCACAAACUGGAAUAUAGCUGCCAACCCAUUUUCCAUCAUUCCAUCCAGUGGUACUGGUCAACAGGGGAGGUCCCAACUGACUGCAGAUUUGAUAAUGGGAUGCUCAUCUACAGUACAGUGCCAAGGAUGUUUCAGAUUUUCAGCUUCUCAUGCUGCUCUGUCAGUGAGCGGGCUUUGGAGGCACAAGGAGUUAGCAGAGGACUGACAUAAGCUGGCCAAAGGCAUGUUCCAUACCAUAUGGCACCAUGUGAAAUAAAUAUAAAACUGAGUAAGUUUUCAUCUCAGCCUACAAGAACUACUUGUUUUUCUCUCCUGGGAGUGGAGGGGGGAGUGAGUAAUGGCUGCAUGGUGUUCAUCUGCCUACCAGCUUAAACCACAUCAGGAAAUCUGAAGUACAGAAAAUAAAGAAAUACAUUGUUGCCCCAUCCACAAAGGAGUACUAUGAGCCACAGCAGCUUUAUGGUGCUUUGCAGAUGUCCAGCUUCAUAGGAAAAGGAAUGGCAUAUUUACAAUUGCAACUGAAGAUACGGCUAUAAUGUGGGCCAACUUUAACCUUCAGCCACACUUGACAGUAGUAGUGAGAGUGGGACUGAGAAUAGAAAGUGAAAGGCAACAGUAGUAACUUCAGCUUGGUGUAUGCUCUGAACGCCACGUAAUGACCUGUUUUAAAGCUGUACACAACCAGGUUAUUUGCAGUUGUUAGCCAUGUUAGAUACAAAAUAUCAUAUCUAACUACAAUCAUGUUUACUAAUAACAGUAAGAAUAUAAAAACAUUACAUAAUUGUCAGAUAACUGUUACGAUCUGAAUUGUCAGAUAAUUCUUACAUCUUAAAUAAAUUUAUGCUGAAUUUAUUUCUAUAUUAUUUUUAAAUACCACUACGAACUGAGAAGAAACCAAAGGAGUGGGAAAAAGUAAGUUUUCACAAAAUAAAUUCGAAACCAAAUCAAAUUACCAAUAUUACAAACUUAACAUUUAACUUUUAACUACUGAAAAUGGAAAAUAUAUAUAUAUAUAUAUAUGUCAAAACCAGGAAAAAGUUUAGAUGGUAAUAGAAACUUGAGUAUCAUGUUCUGGGAGACCCUGUAAAAUAAAACUCUUGCCAAUCAGACUUGGUUAAAAUGUAAAGAGUAUAGUGCAAACAUACAUAUAUAAUCUUUGGAUAAAAUUAAUUUAGUGGAUGAAAUGCAAGGAAGUUUUAUUUUAGAAAUGUAUACUGUUUUGUGGAAAUAUUAAUCUAUAUAGCUGAUAUGUGAA
ensembl:lncRNA